UGACUGCGUACCUUUUGUAUAAUGGGUCAGCGACUUAUAUUCUGUAGCAAGGUUAACCGUAUAGGGGAGCCGGAGGGAAACCGAGUCUUAAUUGGGCGUUAAGUUGCAGGGUAUAGACCCGAAACCCGGUGAUCUAGCCAUGGGCAGGUUGAAGGUUGGGUAACACUAACUGGAGGACCGAACCGACUAAUGUUGAAAAAUUAGCGGAUGACCUGUGGCUGGGGGUGAAAGGCCAAUCAAACCGGGAGAUAGCUGGUUCUCCCCGAAAGCUAUUUAGGUAGCGCCUCGUGAAUUCAUCUCCGGGGGUAGAGCACUGUUUCGGCUAGGGGGCCAUCCCGGCUUACCAACCCGAUGCAAACUGCGAAUACCGGAGAAUGUUAUCACGGGAGACACACGGCGGGUGCUAACGUCCGUCGUGAAGAGGGAAACAACCCAGACCGCCAGCUAAGGUCCCAAAGUCAUGGUUAAGUGGGAAACGAUGUGGGAAGGCCCAGACAGCCAGGAUGUUGGCUUAGAAGCAGCCAUCAUUUAAAGAAAGCGUAAUAGCUCACUGGUCGAGUCGGCCUGCGCGGAAGAUGUAACGGGGCUAAACCAUGCACCGAAGCUGCGGCAGCGACACUGUGUGUUGUUGGGUAGGGGAGCGUUCUGUAAGCCUGUGAAGGUGGCCUGUGAGGGUUGCUGGAGGUAUCAGAAGUGCGAAUGCUGACAUAAGUAACGAUAAAGCGGGUGAAAAGCCCGCUCGCCGGAAGACCAAGGGUUCCUGUCCAACGUUAAUCGGGGCAGGGUGAGUCGACCCCUAAGGCGAGGCCGAAAGGCGUAGUCGAUGGGAAACGGGUUAAUAUUCCCGUACUUGGUGUUACUGCGAAGGGGGGACGGAGAAGGCUAUGUUGGCCGGGCGACGGUUGUCCCGGUUUAAGCGUGUAGGUGUGUGUUCCAGGUAAAUCCGGUUCACUUUAACACUGAGGCGUGACGACGAGGCACUACGGUGCUGAAGCAACAAAUGCCCUGCUUCCAGGAAAAGCCUCUAAGCAUCAGGUAACAUCAAAUCGUACCCCAAACCGACACAGGUGGUCAGGUAGAGAAUACCAAGGCGCUUGAGAGAACUCGGGUGAAGGAACUAGGCAAAAUGGUGCCGUAACUUCGGGAGAAGGCACGCUGACACGUAGGUGAAGUGAUUUACUCAUGGAGCUGAAGUCAGUCGAAGAUACCAGCUGGCUGCAACUGUUUAUUAAAAACACAGCACUGUGCAAACACGAAAGUGGACGUAUACGGUGUGACGCCUGCCCGGUGCCGGAAGGUUAAUUGAUGGGGUCAGCGCAAGCGAAGCUCCUGAUCGAAGCCCCGGUAAACGGCGGCCGUAACUAUAACGGUCCUAAGGUAGCGAAAUUCCUUGUCGGGUAAGUUCCGACCUGCACGAAUGGCGUAAUGAUGGCCAGGCUGUCUCCACCCGAGACUCAGUGAAAUUGAACUCGCUGUGAAGAUGCAGUGUACCCGCGGCAAGACGGAAAGACCCCGUGAACCUUUACUAUAGCUUGACACUGAACAUUGAGCCUUGAUGUGUAGGAUAGGUGGGAGGCUUUGAAGUGUGGACGCCAGUCUGCAUGGAGCCGACCUUGAAAUACCACCCUUUAAUGUUUGAUGUUCUAACGUGGACCCGUAAUCCGGGUUGCGGACAGUGUCUGGUGGGUAGUUUGACUGGGGCGGUCUCCUCCUAAAGAGUAACGGAGGAGCACGAAGGUUGGCUAAUCCUGGUCGGACAUCAGGAGGUUAGUGCAAUGGCAUAAGCCAGCUUGACUGCGAGCGUGACGGCGCGAGCAGGUGCGAAAGCAGGUCAUAGUGAUCCGGUGGUUCUGAAUGGAAGGGCCAUCGCUCAACGGAUAAAAGGUACUCCGGGGAUAACAGGCUGAUACCGCCCAAGAGUUCAUAUCGACGGCGGUGUUUGGCACCUCGAUGUCGGCUCAUCACAUCCUGGGGCUGAAGUAGGUCCCAAGGGUAUGGCUGUUCGCCAUUUAAAGUGGUACGCGAGCUGGGUUUAGAACGUCGUGAGACAGUUCGGUCCCUAUCUGCCGUGGGCGCUGGAGAACUGAGGGGGGCUGCUCCUAGUACGAGAGGACCGGAGUGGACGCAUCACUGGUGUUCGGGUUGUCAUGCCAAUGGCACUGCCCGGUAGCUAAAUGCGGAAGAGAUAAGUGCUGAAAGCAUCUAAGCACGAAACUUGCCCCGAGAUGAGUUCU
rnacentral:rRNA from 1 species